UCUAGGACCCAGCAGAGGUGGUGCUAGGUCUAGGACCCAGCAGAGGUGGUGCUAGGUCUAGGACCCAGGAGGGGUGGUGCUAGGUCUAGAGCUGGGAAUUAGGAGGGGUGGUGCUAGGUCUAGGACCCAGCAGAGGUGGUGCUAGG